rnacentral:lncRNA from 10 species
GCAACCUCUGCCUCCCGGGUUCAAGCGAUUCUCCUGCUUCAGCCUCCUGAGUAGCUGGGAUUACAGGUGUGUGUCAACACGCCCGGCUAAUUUUUGUAUUUUCAGUAGAGGUGGGGUUUCACCAUGUUGACCAGGCUGGUCUUGAACUCCUGACCUCAAGUGAUCCGCCUGCCUCAGCCUCCCAAAGUGCUGGGAGCCAUUGCGUCCGGCCCCAGAUGAAGAGACUUUAAUGAAAGGACGACACCAGAGGAUUGAGGGAGAAAACAAGGGAUGCCGAGGUACCCAUGGACAUCUCAGAGCAGGAGGCUGUGACUCCCUGGGGGAAGGGCAGUGGGGCAGGUGUUUAGCGAGUCCCGGAGGGCGGGAGCAGCAGAGCUGUGCUGUGGAGGGCACAGCUGCUGCCUGUGACACAGCUCCCAGGAGGGAGAGAGCAGGGAAGGAACUUCACCCCACCUACCUCUCUCUCACCCUGCCACAGACCCCACUGGCCAAACCCAACCAGAGUCCAGUCAGCAAAGGAGUGACCAGGAUCAGCCUCUCAGGGUACAGAGCACGGCAGAAAUUAGUUCUGGGAGGCCAGGGGCAGUGGCUCACGCCUGUAAUCCCCACUUUGGGAGGCUAAGACAGGAGGAUCACUCGAGGCCAGGAGUUCGAGACCAGCCUGGGCAACAUACGUGAGCCCCCCCAUAAUUGGUUCCGGGGUAUGGAGAGGCAAGUGAAAGACAGAUAGCAUACCUGUUAGGUACCAAGUUUACAACUUUAUACCUUAAAGUAAAUCUGUGUUGUCACAGCUGCAUCCCCACAGCACCUAGAAUAGUGCUUGGCAUACGUAGGCACUCAGUAAAUAUUUGUUGAGUGAAUGAGCGAAUGAGUUUGCCACCAAUCAGGCCCAAUCCAGGUGGAAACAGCCAAAGCAAAUCUGAAAGGUUAAAAUGACAAUCGCUAUAAUGGCUACCAUUUGUUGCAUGUGUACUGAGGGUGUUGGGCGCCGGGUCUUACACCCUGUUGGCAUCAUCUCGUCAUGUGCAUCUGGUGCUGUGGGGCCUGUUAUCCGUUUGCAGGUGAGGACAUGAAGGCACAGAGAGAUAUGCGAUUAGGGUCACACGGUUAAAAAGUGGCAGAGCUGGGACUUAAACCCGAGUGUGCCUGCUACAAAUUCUGCUGUCUUAGUGCUGGAUUCUGUUGCCCUGCCAGGGAGCAUAACCUCGUGGGUGUGAGCAAGCCUCGAUGAGAUCGCGCUUGUGACGAGAAUUCUAGAAGGUGAUACGUUAACAAAAAAUGAAGGUCGAAUAGAUCAAUAAAGCAACACUGGGCCUCACGUGUAUCAGUGAGAAUGCUUUCAGCUGCAAGGAACAGGAACCCUGAUUCAAAAUGGAUAAACAAUAAGGAAAGGUAUCCUGUAACCAAGAAGGCUGGAAGCAGGGGGAUUCCAGGGUUGGUGAAUUUAGCAGCUUGAGGAUAUCAGGACCCAAGUUUCUUUGCAUUUGGUCCCGCUGUCAUUUUUAUUAUUUUAUUAUUAUUAUUAUUAUUUUUUUUUUUUUUUUUGAGACGGAGUCUCACUCUGUCACCCAGGCUGGAGUGCAGUGGCGCAACUUUGGCGGAGGUUGCCGUGAGCCAAGAUUGCGCCAUUGUACUCCAGCCUGGACAACAAGAGCAAAAGUC